GUGGGGAAUCUUCCGCAAUGGACGAAAGUCUGACGGAGCAACGCCGCGUGAAGGAAGAAGGCUUUCGGGUUGUAAACUUCUUUUGUCAGGGACGAAAAAAAUGACGGUACCUGACGAAUAAGCCACGGCUAACUACGUGCCAGCAGCCGCGGUAAUACGUAGGUGGCAAGCGUUAUCCGGAUUUACUGGGUGUAAAGGGCGUGUAGGCGGGAAAGCAAGUCAGAUGUGAAAACUAUGGGCUCAACCCAUAGCCUGCAUUUGAAACUGUUUUUCUUGAGUACUGGAGAGGCAGAUGGAAUUCCUAGUGUAGCGGUGAAAUGCGUAGAUAUUAGGAGGAACACCAGUGGCGAAGGCGAUCUGCUGGACAGCAACUGACGCUGAGGCGCGAAAGCGUGGGGAGCAAACAGGAUUAGAUACCCGAGUAGUCC
rnacentral:rRNA from 1 species